rnacentral:rRNA from 1 species
GCCAGACUCCUACGGGAGGCAGCAGUGGGGGAUAUUGCACAAUGGGGGAAACCCUGAUGCAGCGACGCCGCGUGGGUGAAGAAGUAUUUCGGUAUGUAAAGCCCUAUCAGCAGGGAAGAAAGAAGACGGUACCUGACUAAGAAGCCCCGGCUAACUACGUGCCAGCAGCCGCGGUAAUACGUAGGGGGCGAGCGUUAUCCGGAUUCACUGGGUGUAAAGGGAGCGUAGACGGCCGUGCAAGCCAGGAGUGAAAGCCCGGGGCCCAACCCCGGGACUGCUCUUGGAACUGUGCGGCUGGAGUGCGGGAGGGGCAGGCGGAAUUCCUGGUGUAGCGGUGAAAUGCGUAGAUAUUAGGAGGAACACCAGUGGCGAAGGCGGCCUGCUGGACGAUGACUGACGUUGAGGCUCGAAAGCGUGGGGAGCAAACAGGAUUAGAUACCCGGGUACC